CUAACCUCACUCGCGCCUUCCUCCCUCACCUGACGCUGUCUCCGCCUCCCCUCUCUCGCGUGCGACGCCAAGCCACCCGACCUCUCCUCCUCCCCUAUUCAUCGCCGACCUUUCCUGAGCCCCUCACGACUUCUUCUCUCUCGCGAGGCCGAGCCACCGCCGACCCUCUCCCUUCUCCAUCGCGACUUUGUUUCCUCUCCACCCGAUCCCUCUUCGUCGCCGGCACAACUCCAUCCCGCCCUUCACUGGAGCCACCACCAGUCAGUCACCGUUUUCCCUUUCCAACCCAUGCCAUAGCUUCUUAUCGUAGCCACGACCAUUCACUCUCAUGAGCCUCGAUCGCCCGAUGACUGCCCGACUGCUAACACCACCACUUGAACGCACUGGCGACACUUGAUCCGGCCAUUGACGGUGUAGAGCCACUGUCACCCCCUUCUUCCUCUUGCGAUUUUCGUAGUUGCAUCCUCGUUGUCGAUUAUCCUUUUGGGCCAUGAGCUAGAGGCCGCAAGCUCCACAUUGCCGUCGACCUCUCCUCCGCUACGUCUCAUUGAUGGUGUGGAUCUGUUGCCUCUCUUCUUUGCCUCGGCGCGACACCACAUCAACCACCAUUUGAGUGAGAGUCACCGAUCGCCAUGAGUUGCUGCUGGAGCAAUGAAAAACCACUAGAGAAGAAGAGGAAACAAUGGCACCUACACCUAGCUCCGGUCAUCGUUGUGACACCAUUGUCUUAUCGGAUCUGGGGGGGGGGGGAGUUUUACUCCUAUUGCUGCGGUGAUUGGAUUUCUUUGUCAAGCGGUGAAUCGGAUUUGGGUAGAUGAUUAAGCAAUUGCUUGGAGGUAUCCUGUCUGCCGGUCCCUCGUCACAUCAGAAGACGAUUUUACUUCGCUUUUGAUUUCUUUUAUAUAUAUUCUUUGAUGUUUUAGCAUUGUAUUGGUGUUUAGCCAUGCGGCUAUUUUCCCAUUGAUUUUGGUGUUGUAUUUGUGUUUAAGUCGUGUCGGGACACAUUGAGUUGUUUUGGUUGUAUGAGCUUCUCGUUUAGUUUUCGUUGUAUUUUUAGUACAACCGAGUGGGUUGUUUUAUAUAUAACUGCGUGGUUGUGUUUGUAGUACAAUCAUGUGGGAUGUUUAAUAUAUAUAUAACUGCGUGGUUAUGUAUAUUCCAGCCGUGUGUGUUGAUGUAUUUGUUUGUGAUGUAUUCAUGCUUCAGAUUGUCACCGAUAUAGGGGAGAUGUUGUCAGAUUUUAUUCUGGCAGGGACUCCUUUAGGGUGUGACAGGCUCAACUUGGCUAUAAAAGGAGGUCUCGACUCAACACUUUAGAACAACGAUUUCUAAGCAUCUUCAGCUUCUGCACAUUGCUCUGAAAAGAUCU